rnacentral:rRNA from 1 species
ACCCGGUAUAGUCUAUUAUACACCUGUAUAAAAGACGAGAGCUACGGCGGCCAAAGAUGGGCAUGCGUGCCAUUAGUUAGUUGGUAGGGUAACGGCCUACCAAGGCAUCGAUGGCUACGGGGUCUAAAAGGAUGAGCCCGCACACUGGUACUGAGACACGGACCAGACUCCUACGGGAGGCAGCAGUGAGGAAUAUUGGUCAAUGGGUGGAAGCCUGAACCAGCCAUGCCGCGUGCAGGAAGACGGCCUUAUGGGUUGUAAACUGCUUUUCUACGGGACGAACGGCUCUGACGUGUCAGAGAUUGACGGUACCGUAGGAAUAAGCAUCGGCUAACUCCGUGCCAGCAGCCGCGGUAAUACGGAGGAUGCGAGCGUUAUCCGGAUUUAUUAGGUUUAAAGGGUGCGUAGGCUGGGCAAUAAGUCAGUGGUGAAAGUCCGCGGCUCAACCGUGGGAUUGCCAUUGAAACUGUUGUUCUUGAGUACAGUCGAGGUAGGCGGAAUGUGUAAUGUAGCGGUGAAAUGCAUAGAUAUUACCCAGAACACCGAUUGCGUAGGCAGCUUACCAGCCUGGAACUGACGCUGAUGCACGAAAGCGUGGGGAGCGAACAGGAUUAGAUACCCUGGUAGUCCACGCCGUAAACGAUGAUCACUCGCUGUUGGCAAUAUAGAGUCAGCGGCUGAGCGAAAGCAUUAAGUGAUCCACCUGGGGAGUACGUCGGCAACGAUGAAACUCAAAGGAAUUGACGGGGGCCCGCACAAACGGUGGAACAUGUGGUUUAAUUCGAUGAUACGCGAGGAACCUUACCUGGGCUUAAAUGUAGCCGGACGAUUCCGGAAACGGGAUUUCCUUAACGGCUGGUUACAAGGUGCUGCAUGGCUGUCGUCAGCUCGUGCCGUGAGGUGUCGGGUUAAGUCCCAUAACGAGCGCAACCCUUAUUCUUAGUUGCCAGCGGGUAGAGCCGGGGACUCUAAGGAGGCUGCCACCGUAAGGUGUGAGGAAGGUGGGGAUGACGUCAAGUCAGCACGGCCAUUACGUCCAGGGCUACACACGUGUUACAAUGGCCGGUACAGAAGGCAGCAAACUUGAGAGAGGGCGGGAAUCCAUGAAAGCCGGUCUCAGUUCGGAUUGGAGUCUGCAACCCGACUUCAUGAAGUUGGAAUCGCUAGUAAUCGCGCAUCA